rnacentral:rRNA from 1 species
GACGUAGGAGGCGAGCGUUAUCCGGAUUCACUGGGCGUAAAGCGCAUGUAGGCGGUUGUGUAAGUCCGAUGUUAAAGCCCCUGGCUCAACUGGGGGAGGUCAUUGGAGACUACUCGACUUGAGGGCAACAGAGGCACGUGGAACUCCCGGUGUAGCGGUGGAAUGCGUAGAGAUCGGGAAGAACACCAGUGGCGAAGGCGGCUCUCUAGUACGGUACUGACGCUGAGACGCGAAAGCGUGGGGAGCGAACAGG